UACCCUAAUUACAAUAAUUCGCAUGAUUAACUCUAUUGCUCAAACAAAGUCUUUUAAAUUCAACCCAUGCGGUUCAAACGAAUUCAGUUUAUAUGCCCAAAAACCUUCUCUUUGUGUGGGACAUGCAACAUUAGUUUUAUCAAUAAUUUUAACUUUCACAUCUUGCAUACCAUUAUGACCUUAAUCAAAAAAAUGAGCAUACAAAUGCUCGCCUGCCAUACCCCUUUCACCUCUCCCAUAUCUAUUCAUGCUACUUUUGUGGUUGUUAAAACGUUUCCUAAAACUGGUAAUUGUACUCCCCACAUACUUUUUCCCACAUUUUCUACAAUAAAUCAAAUAAAUCACCCCAGCCGAAUCGCAAUCAAAGUUGUAAUAAAUGUAGUAUUUUAC